rnacentral:lncRNA from 1 species
CCAUUUCCAAAACAUACCGUAAAAGACCAUUAUCAAGCCAUUACAAACUUACCAAAUGAACGUUAUAUACACGCACUUAUAAGUGACCAAGAUGAUAUACUUUGGUAAGACAUUUCAAAUUACCAAAUCAACAUAAACUUCAAAAUAUAAACAUCCAAAUUACCGUUACAUAACAUCCUAUACAUGUCAUUAUAAACCUUGGCCAAAAUGCUAAAAAACCACCGAAAAGACUUCUAGAUAGUGUCAUAGAUAUCCGAUGAGCUUCCAAUCAAAUCGAGCUUCUAAUAAUCUAUAAAACAUAGGAAAGAAACUACGUAAGUUAGCUUGUAUAAAUUAAAACAUAACUUACCAUUUUAUUUGCAUAAUAUAAAGCAUAAGUAUAAUAUAAUCCAAACCAUAAGCUUGGCAUAAGCCUAUACAUCACCAUCAAUACACAAGUUAGCACACUUGUACAUAAUUCAAAUGAACUAACCAUAAGAUAAGUCAUUUUCCAUAUGAAAUACGCCAAAUAGUUCAUGCAUUCUUUCCAUAAGAUUAUGCUUAAUUCCAUUUGAAUGCUUACCAUUUCAAUCCCUUUUCUAGCCCGUUGAACCAUUUAGAAUUUCAUUAGAUACUCGAGAAAGCUCACAUGAAGUGUGCCUUUACAUGUAACCGUAACAUUUCCUUUACAUCAUUGCUUACACCAGCUGUGAAAUGGGUCUGCUCACACGAGCUGUAGAGAAUCCGCAACAAGUGCAGGACCUCAGCCAUCAGUAAGACAUUCAAGACCAGCACCCAAAACAUGAAAUCCCUAAUCACAUGUCAUUCGUAUCCUAAGAAUUCCUAAGGUUCAACCGGGACUCGCAUUAUGAAUAACAUAAUAACAUUAAAUUUAAAUAACGCUAAUACGAUAACCAUUCGUACGAACUUACCUCGAUGACUAGGGCGUAGAAGUUAAGUCGAGCUAAUCUGAAGCUUUUGUCUUUCCUUGAUUUAGGUUUGGUUAAAUAGAUAAUUCACAUUUAUGUAAAAUUAUCAAUUUUCCCCUAACAUUUUAACUUUUUUACAAUUUAGUCCUUAAGCUUAUAACUUAAAAUCUAACCAUUUUAAUCUAAAUCCAUGUUAAUCAAACAUGUAAGGGACCUUGAAACAACUCAUAUUUACCAUCGUUUCACAAUAAAACCCUAGAAUUUAUACCUUUAACAAAUUAGUCCCUAAUUUCAAAAUUCAACAAAGAUCACUUAACAAAACUUGUUUAUUUUUCGGCAAAGAUUCAAAAUCUAUCAUUUAACAUCAAAAUUUCUUAGUGAAAUUUUAAUACGACCUAAAUAUAAUCCCGUAAAUAUUAAAAUAAUAAUAAUAUAAUAAUUUACUUGUUAGAAUUGUGAUCCUAAAACUAUUAUUCUGAUAUCACUGAAAAUGGGCUGUUACAUAGAAGAAGAGUAGUGGGAAAUUCUUGAUAAGGUUUAGGUUGCUGGAGAAGGUGAAAAUGGAUCAUGUCAAGGCUUCGAAGAAAAUGGGGUUCUUAUGGUUACUAUUCCUAAAGUUGAGAUGAAAAAAUUUAUAAGAUUAAAUAUGUUAGAAAUUUCUCUAUCAAACAUGUAAAAUUUUCUACGUGAAGGUUUCUCUUUUUUUUUGGUUUAACUGUGAAAGUUGUUUUCUGUAUGGUUGACUAAUGUGAUUACAUGAUUAAACUGAAAUCUAAGUAAAGAUUGGAAUAUACCGAAGCAGUUGAAUUAUUGAUGACUACUGACCAACUUUUUUUAUUUAAUAUAAGUAUUAAGUUUGAAUUAAGAGUUAAGAAGGAUAUUUUGAGUAUUGGAAAGAAAUUAAUUCAAUUAUUGUAAUUUUAUCAUUACAUUUCAUAUCCAAAUAAAUUGUAUGUGUAAAAUAUUAUGAAAUUAAAGAAGGUUUAAUAAUGGCUAUAGCUGUAGAAUUUAAACUGAAACUAGGCUACUAAUUAAACUUUAAAUCUUUCAUAAUUAAAAUAAAUUGAGAGUAAGUGAUCAAAAAAUUGAGCCUGCGUUGAGAUAGUAGUACAUAUGAGAUUAGUGCACUCAUCAGUACAAUCGUUUUUAAUCAAAAAAUAAAUGUUGUAAUCGUUGGAAAAAAAAAGUCAUAAAUGAAAGAAUUUGAAGCAUUCAGUCUAUGAUCAACUCAAAAAACUAUCAUAUUUCUUUUAGAUAAAUAAUAAUAAUAAUGUAUAUUGAGAAACACCACAAUUAUUGUACAAAAUAUCAUAAAUGAAAAAAAUUUCACUUCAUCUAAUUUUGGUUCUUUUAUUCAAUGUAUUUUCCCCUCUAUUUUCUCUAUACUGAAAAUACUUAAAUGCAAAGCUAAUAUGCAGUGAGUAAAUGCCUAUAAAAUAUUUAAUCAAUAAUUAAAGUGAAUUAAUUAAAAAAAAGGUUCUUUAAUUGCUUAAUUUUUAUUUUGAUUUUACUUUAAUUGGCUUUAAAAUUUUAUGGAGUUACAGUUUUAGGUUUAAGUGUAAUAACUUAGUUUUUCCCUCAUUUACUAUGAAUUGAUAAAAACAAUAAUCAAGCCUUUAGUAUUUAACACAUAAAAUAUAACAACUUUUAAGUUUCAUAAAUACCUUUUUAUUUCUUCACUUUAUACAUAAAUAGUUAUCAAAAUAUUUAUUAGUUAUUUCUCGUUAUAUUUUAGGCAUAAAAAUAAAUUUAGCUUGGUGUGGCCACUAGCGUAGUCUACAUAUAAUCCAUAAAAAUUUAAAAAAAUUAAAAUGAAUAUUUAAAAAAUCAACAAUUUUUUUUAAAAUAUUCAUAAAAACUUUUAAAAAAAAGUUAUCCAUGUUUGUAGUGAAGUAUACGUAAAAUUCAUUUGAACUCAAACCCAUCAAAGAAACUCCAAGACUUUCGCUUUGCUGAAUCCGAGACCUAGCUACUUGAAUCAUCUGAAAGACGAAACCUAAGGGGGAUGAGCUACACGAGCUCAGUGUGAGUUCUAAACAAAAGUAAAUGGAAAAUGACGAAGAACUAAACAAAUAUACAGACAACAUAUGAAAAUCUCGAACUAAACAGUCAGAUAUAUGAAAAAUUUCCAUUAACAUACAAAAUACGAAUACAAUAUUCCAAACAUACAAAAUACGAAUACAAUAUUCCAAACACACAUGUUACUUAAUCACAUCAGAUUAUACAAAUCAUUUCACACAUAUCCCAACAUUCACACAAAAAAAAAAACAUAUGCUCUGAUGCGAAAAGAAUGCAACAAGUAAAAAAUAUCACCUAACCAGCCAAAACACUACUCCGACCACCUUGCACACCACAAUUGGGCUAUGGUAGACCCAUCCACCCUACACACCACGGUAGUGAAUCUAAGUCACUCAAAUAGAAAUAUGCAGACAAGUUGACAUAUAUAUAUUUUGGACGUACCGCUAUUAGAUUAAUUUGCUGUUUGACUGUCAAAACAGACUUCUUUUUCUUCACAAUCAAAACCCCAAAUUUUUAUGCAAAUGCAAAAAAGCACACAAUAUGCAAACAGACAUACAAAAGCAGGAACACAUAAUCGGUUGAACAGAACCAUAAUAAAAAAUACUUGUAUUUAGUUAUAAUGUAGCAGACUCGCUAACCACAAUGUCACAAUUAUCAUAUCCCAAACUCAUACGAAGGUCAAAACUAAUUUACCAUAGCACAAACGCAUUUAUGCAAAUCACAAAAUUUAAAUCUAGUGAAUUCCUAUUCAUAAUCAAAUUUAAACCAAAUUAAUGACCCACACGCUUCUACAGAGCUUAAACGUAACAUUUUGCAAAAAGGUUACAAAUUUUUUAAAAUAGGGUCACAUGACCCUGUGGCCCGCUCAUGUGAUACGAAAAUCACAGCCAAAAUUGUUGCAAACAUGAAAAUUUAACACCAUGAACAUCCCCAAAUACGAGUAUUUAAGAAACACACCUGCAACGCACUGCCGAGACACUAGGGAUCGACCAAAGCACCUUCCCAAAAUUGAUCUAAAACUUGAUUACACAAAUAUAUUAACCGGAUGAGGAAAAACCAAUCAAAAUGAAAAAGAUAAACUAAUAGAAAACAAAUCAACUCACAACACAAACUUACGCUUAUACUACUCGCAUUCAAUUGAUAGAAAAUAUGAAAAGGAAGACAAAAUUCUCCCUAAAGAGAACGACAAUCGACAACGAGUUUGGCGAAGAGGAAACGACACGGGAUCACUCAAUUUAUGAGCACAGUAAGUAAUACAAAUAUAAACACUAAAGAAACAAAUAUGAGAAAUUAAAACCAAAUGAAAGAAAGAACAAAAAUAAAAAAUAAAAAUAAAAAG